rnacentral:lncRNA from 1 species
GGAGAACUUAUACAUGGCACCAUUCCUAUAAAAUGAGGAAAAUAGCUUUGAAGAUGAUGAUCUACUUCCAUCAUGAACAUUCUACCAAGUGGAAGAAAAUAAGAAAAAAAAAAUUCACUCUGCAAGAUUCUCUAACCCAGAAACCCAAGAAGGAAAGAAAGAGCUGCAUGGUGACCCUGACAAGUCCCUUUUUCUCAACCCUCAUCUGAAAUAGAUGCAUACUACAAGGAGGCACAAUGAUAAUGAGCUUAUUUCCUUCAAGCUACAAUCAAGAUGCUGAAAUAAAGGCUACAAUAUCUUUUGCCUUAUAUUCUGACAUCAGUGAAAUCAAGGCAAGUGCUCUGCUUUGGCCAGU